AAUUAUCAAUCUAGUAAUUGAUUGGACUUGGGAUUUGCUGGCUUUGAGUAGUCAGCUAUCCUUAAAUGUAUUGUAUUGACGUGCACGGCCUGUCUCCGGUGAUAAAUGAUCCGUUGGUCCGGGCUGGAAGCGUCAAUUAGACAUAAGUGUUUACACUUGACA
rnacentral:misc_RNA from 1 species